rnacentral:rRNA from 1 species
GGGUUGUGAGGUUAAGCGACUAAGCGUACACGGUGGAUGCCCUGGCAGUCAGAGGCGAUGAAGGGCGUGCUAAUCUGCGAUAAGCGCCGGUAAGGUGAUAUGAACCGUUAUAACCGGCGAUACCCGAAUGGGGAAACCCAGUGUGACUCGUCACACUAUCAUUAACUGAAUCCAUAGGUUAAUGAGGCGAACCGGGGGAACUGAAACAUCUAAGUACCCCGAGGAAAAGAAAUCAACCGAGAUUCCCCCAGUAGCGGCGAGCGAACGGGGAGGAGCCCAGAGCCUGAAUCAGCAUGUGUGUUAGUGGAAGCGUCUGGAAAGGCGCGCGAUACAGGGUGACAGCCCCGUACACAAAAGCGCAUGUGCUGUGAGCUCGAUGAGUAGGGCGGGACACGUGGUAUCCUGUCUGAAUAUGGGGGGACCAUCCUCCAAGGCUAAAUACUCCUGACUGACCGAUAGUGAACCAGUACCGUGAGGGAAAGGCGAAAAGAACCCCGGCGAGGGGAGUGAAAAAGAACCUGAAACCGUGUACGUACAAGCAGUGGGAGCACAGGUUUACCUGUGUGACUGCGUACCUUUUGUAUAAUGGGUCAGCGACUUAUAUUCUGUAGCAAGGUUAACCGUAUAGGGGAGCCGUAGGGAAACCGAGUCUUAACCGGGCGUUAAGUUGCAGGGUAUAGACCCGAAACCCGGUGAUCUAGCCAUGGGCAGGUUGAAGGUUGGGUAACACUAACUGGAGGACCGAACCGACUAAUGUUGAAAAAUUAGCGGAUGACCUGUGGCUGGGGGUGAAAGGCCAAUCAAACCGGGAGAUAGCUGGUUCUCCCCGAAAGCUAUUUAGGUAGCGCCUCGUGAAUUCAUCUCCGGGGGUAGAGCACUGUUUCGGCUAGGGGGCCAUCCCGGCUUACCAACCCGAUGCAAACUGCGAAUACCGGAGAAUGUUAUCACGGGAGACACACGGCGGGUGCUAACGUCCGUCGUGAAGAGGGAAACAACCCAGACCGCCAGCUAAGGUCCCAAAGUCAUGGUUAAGUGGGAAACGAUGUGGGAAGGCCCAGACAGCCAGGAUGUUGGCUUAGAAGCAGCCAUCAUUUAAAGAAAGCGUAAUAGCUCACUGGUCGAGUCGGCCUGCGCGGAAGAUGUAACGGGGCUAAACCAUGCACCGAAGCUGCGGCAGCGACACUGUGUGUUGUUGGGUAGGGGAGCGUUCUGUAAGCCUGCGAAGGUGGCCUGUGAGGGUUGCUGGAGGUAUCAGAAGUGCGAAUGCUGACAUAAGUAACGAUAAAGCGGGUGAAAAGCCCGCUCGCCGGAAGACCAAGGGUUCCUGUCCAACGUUAAUCGGGGCAGG